GACGAACGCUGGCGGCGUGCUUAACACAUGCAAGUCGAACGAAGUGGCGAACGGGUGAGUAACGCGUAAUCAACCUGCCCUUCAGAGGGGGACAACAGUUGGAAACGACUGCUAAUACCGCAUACUGAAGGAGGGGAUUGCGUCUGUGUAGCUCGUUGGAGGGGUAACGGCCCACCAAGGCGAUGUUCAGUAGCCGGUCUGGAGGGAUGAACGGCAACAUGGGGACUGGGGCACGGCCCAGACUCCUACGGGAGGCAGCAGUGGGGAAUCAUCCGCAAUGGACGAAAGUCUGACGGAGCAACGCCGCGGGAGUGAUGACGGCCUUCGGGUUGUAAAGCUCUGUUAAUCGGGACGCGGUACCGGAAUAGAAAGCCACGGCUAACUACGUGCCAGCAGCCGCGGUAAUAC
rnacentral:rRNA from 1 species